GAUGAAGAACGCAGCGAAAUGCGAUACGUAAUGUGAAUUGCAAAUUCAGUGAAUCAUCGAGUCUUUGAACGCACAUUGCGCCCCCUGGUAUUCCGGGGGGCAUGCCUGUCCGAGCGUCAUUGCUGCCCUCAAGCACGGCUUGUGUGUUGGGCCCCGUCCUCCGAUCCCGGGGGACGGGCCCGAAAGGCAGCGGCGGCACCGCGUCCGGUCCUCGAGCGUAUGGGGCUUUGUCACCCGCUCUGUAGGCCCGGCCGGCGCUUGCCGAUCAACCCAAAUUUUUAUCCAGGUUGACCUCGGAUCAGGUAGGGUUACCCGCUGAACUUAAGCAUAUCAAUAAGCGGAGGA
rnacentral:misc_RNA from 1 species